UACGUAGGGCGCAAGCGUUAUCCGGAAUUAUUGGGCGUAAAGAGCUCGUAGGCGGUUUGUCGCGUCUGCUGUGAAAACCGGAGGCUCAACCUCCGGCCUGCAGUGGGUACGGGCAAACUAGAGUGCGGUAGGGGAGAUUGGAAUUCCUGGUGUAGCGGUGGAAUGCGCAGAUAUCAGGAGGAACACCGAUGGCGAAGGCAGAUCUCUGGGCCGUAACUGACGCUGAGGAGCGAAAGCGUGGGGAGCGAACAGG
rnacentral:rRNA from 1 species